CGCGGCCUAUCAGCUUGUUGGUGAGGUAACGGCUCACCAAGGCAUCGACGGGUAGCUGGUCUGAGAGGAUGAUCAGCCACACUGGGACUGAGACACGGCCCAGACUCCUACGGGAGGCAGCAGUGGGGAAUAUUGCACAAUGGGCGCAAGCCUGAUGCAGCAACGCCGCGUGCGGGAUGAGGGCCCUAGGGUUGUAAACCGCUUUCAGCAGGGAAGAAACUGACGGUACCUGCAGAAGAAGGUGCGGCCAACUACGUGCCGGCAGCCGCGGUGACACGUAGGCACCAAGCGUUGUCCGGAUUUAUUGGGCGUAAAGAGCUCGUAGGCGGUUCAGUUAGUCGGGUGUGAAAACUCUGGGCUCAACCCAGAGACGCCACCCGAUACUGCUGUGACUAGAGUACGGUAGGGGAGCGGGGAAUUCCUGGUGUAGCGGUGAAAUGCGCAGAUAUCAGGAGGAACACCAGUGGCGAAGGCGCCGCUCUGGGCCGUAACUGACGCUGAGGAGCGAAAGCAUGGGUAGCAAACAGGAUUAGAUACCCUGGUAGUCCAUGCCGUAAACGUUGGGCACUAGGUGUGGGUCUCAACCAACGAGAUCCGCGCCGUCGCUAACGCAUUAAGUGCCCCGCCUGGGGAGUACGG
rnacentral:rRNA from 1 species